AUGGGCAACUGCAAGAGUUCAUCUCGGGCACUGCUAGGAAAAGCCCAUGUUGUUCCGGAUGCUGAAUGGAGGAUGCAGGACUUUGGAAAGACCCAUGUUCCAGAUCUAGAAUGGAGGAUUCAUGACUUCUCAUCGCUGCUUGAGACGGGAGCUAAGUCAGCAACAUCUGCCACUUUUCACUGCUCUGGGUAUAACUGGCACCUGCAAGUAAUUCCAAUGCAUAAAGAAACAGGUUCUGAAACGCCAUAUGUUGCUCUUCAUCUUAUGACAUCCCAAGAAAGGAUGGUGCCAGGUCACACGGUGCAUGUGGUUUUUGAGUUGUCAAUAUACAACCAUUCAAAAGGAAUGUACUGUGGAUGCAAAGCUGGCUGCAACUUUGAUUUCAAGAAUGCCCACUCGAAGGAAAAUUGCUUGAUUCCUCUCCAGGAGCUACUGAACUCAUCUGCUUUUCUAGUUGAUGAUAACUGUGUCUUUGCUGUGGAGAUAUUAAAAAUUGAUGCCUCUUCUCCUAAAAAGAAGGCUGUUGUGCUUCAGAAGAAAGCUACCACAGUUCAGAACCUAUUUGUCCAGAGGAAGGGGUUUGUCAAAGGGACAUACACUUGGACCAUGAACAAUUUCCUUGAACUGGACUUGAAGUACUUCGUCCGUUCUCCUACAUUUGAAGCUGGCGGACAGAAAUGGUACAUCGGCAUGUAUCCGCGUGGUGACUUGUACAGCACUGAUUGCCUCAGUUUGUACUUAUACCUGGAUGCCUGGGAUGAGCUCCGUCUUGAGUCCAAGAAGGUGGUUGUAAUGACUCUGUCCAUCCUGGACCAAAAGAAUGGGAAGCACUUGACUGUAACUUCAGGUCUCUGGGUGUUUACGGGUGGACAUGGCUUGGGAUGGGCUGAUUUCCUUAGACUCAGUCAACUCAAGGACCCUUCUGGAGGCUAUGUUGUGGGAUCGAGCUGCAUUGUGAAGCUAGAUGUUUACCUCAUGGCCUGA
rnacentral:rRNA from 1 species